rnacentral:rRNA from 1 species
UACGUAGGGAGCAAGCGUUGUCCGGAUUCACUGGGUGUAAAGGGUGCGCAGGCGGACUGGCAAGUCAGGGGUGAAAUCUCACGGCUCAACCGUGAAACUGCCUUUGAUACUGCUAGUCUUGAGUUAGGGAGAGGUUGAUGGAAUUCUAGGUGUAGCGGUGAAAUGCGUAGAUAUCUAGAAGAACACCAGUGGCGAAGGCGGUCAACUGGCCCUAAACUGACGCUCAGGCACGAAAGCGUGGGGAGCAAACAGG